rnacentral:sRNA from 1 species
GCCAGGUGUGGUGGUGCACACCUGUAAUCCUAGCUACUUAGGCUGAAGAAGGAGAAUCACUAAGUACAAGGUCAACUUUGUUAACUUAGUGAGACUCUGUCUU